rnacentral:rRNA from 1 species
AUGAACGCUGGCGGCGUGCCUAAUACCUGCAAGUCGAGCGAACAGACGAGGAGCUUGCUCCUCUGACGUUAGCGGCGGACGGGUGAGUAACACGUGGAUAACCUACCUAUAAGCCUGGGAUAACUUCGGGAAACCGGAGCUAAUACCGGAUAAUAUAUUGAACCGCAUGGUUCAAUAGUGAAAGACGGUUUUGCUGUCACUUAUAGAUGGAUCCGCGCCGCAUUAGCUAGUUGGUAAGGUAACGGCUUACCAAGGCAACGAUGCGUAGCCGACCUGAGAGGGUGAUCGGCCACACUGGAACUGAGACACGGUCCAGACUCCUACGGGAGGCAGCAGUAGGGAAUCUUCCGCAAUGGGCGAAAGCUUGACGGAGCAACGCCGCGUGAGUGAUGAAGGUCUUCGGAUCGUAAAACUCUGUUAUUAGGGAAGAACAAAUGUGUAAGUAACUAUGCACGUCUUGACGGUACCUAAUCAGAAAGCCACGGCUAACUACGUG